rnacentral:rRNA from 1 species
UACAGAGGUCUCAAGCGUUGUUCGGAUUCAUUGGGCGUAAAGGGUGCGUAGGUGGCUCUGUAAGUCGGGUGUGAAAUUUCGGAGCUUAACUCCGAAACUGCAUUCGAUACUGCGGUGCUUGAGGACUGGAGAGGAGACUGGAAUUCAUGGUGUAGCAGUGAAAUGCGUAGAGAUCGUAAGGAAGACCAGUGGCGAAGGCGGGUCUCUGGACAGUUCCUGACACUGAGGCACGAAGGCCAGGGGAGCAAACGGG